rnacentral:rRNA from 1 species
AUUGAACGCUGGCGGCAGGCCUAACACAUGCAAGUCGCGCGAGCGGCGGACGGGUGAGUAAUGUCUGGGAAACUGCCUGAUGGAGGGGGAUAACUCCUGGAAACGGUAGCUAAUACCGCAUACCAUCAGAUGUGCCCAGCUGGGAUUCGCUAGUAGGUGGGGUAACGGCUCACCUAGGCGACGCUCCCUAGCUGGUCUGAGAGGAUGACCAGCCACACUGGAACGGAGACACGGUCCAGACGCCUACGGGAGGCAGCAGUGGGGAAUAUGGCACAAUGGGCGCAAGCCUGAUGCAGCCAUGCCGCGUGUGUGAAGAAGGCCUGCGGGUUGUAAAGCACUUUCAGCUGGGAGGCGUUACCCGCAGAAGAAGCACCGGCGAACUCCGUGCCAGCAGCCGCGGUAAUUC